rnacentral:rRNA from 1 species
UACGGGGGGGGCAAGCGUUGUUCGGAAUUACUGGGCGUAAAGGGCUCGUAGGCGGCCAACUAAGUCAGACGUGAAAUCCCUCGGCUUAACCGGGGAACUGCGUCUGAUACUGGAUGGCUUGAGUUCGGGAGAGGGAUGCGGAAUUCCAGGUGUAGCGGUGAAAUGCGCAGAUAUCAGGAGGAACACCGAUGGCGAAGGCAGGUCUCUGGGCUGACACUGACGCUCAUGCACGAAAGCGUGGGUAGCAAACAGG